rnacentral:rRNA from 1 species
GAUCUAGUUCAGGAUGAACGCUAGCUACAGGCUUAACACAUGCAAGGUCGAGGGGCAUCAGGGAUCUAGCUUGCUAGAUUUGCUGGCGACCGGCGCACGGGUGAGUAACGCGUAUCCAACCUUCCCUAUAGUAGAGGAUAGCCCGGCGAAAGUCGGAUUAAUACUCUAUGUUGUAUUUAGAGGACAUCUGAAGAAUACCAAAGGUUUACCGCUAUAGGAUGGGGAUGCGUCUGAUUAGGUUGUUGGCGGGGUAACGGCCCACCAAGCCUACGAUCAGUAGGGGUUCUGAGAGGAAGGUCCCCCACAUUGGAACUGAGACACGGUCCAAACUCCUACGGGAGGCAGCAGUGAGGAAUAUUGGUCAAUGGACGAGAGUCUGAACCAGCCAAAGUAGCGUGCAGGAUGACGGCCCUAUGGGUUGUAAACUGCUUUUAUACGGGGAUAAAGUGAGGGACGUGUCCCUUUUUGUAGGUACCGUAUGAAUAAGGACCGGCUAAUUCCGUGCCAGCAGCCGC